UCCUGCUUGGCUUCGGUAAUCCCUCC
rnacentral:piRNA from 1 species